GUGAGCGUAGCUCAGCUGGUUAGAGCAUCGGUCUGUGGAACCGAGGGUCGAGGGUUCGAGCCCCUUCGCUCACCCCA
rnacentral:tRNA from 1 species